CAGGAGUCCAGGUGGCUGGUGUGGCCUGCCUGCCUGCACUGCCCCUUUCUCUCUUGCCAGGCAGAGCAUGGGGGCUGGCCACAUGACCUUUGAGCAGCCCCAGGCAUCAAGCUGGAGCUGGCAGUAAGGGCAGGAGCAGCCUCCUAUCCUGUUGUAUCAUGUAGACUUUGGCCACCAGAAGAAAUUGCUCCAUGUCUUUCCUUCUACAGAUAUACCUGUCCACAUGCACACACACACACAAGUAUACACAUACACACCUGUCCACAUGCACACAGAGAUGUCCACAUGUGCACACCCAUGCCCACAUGCACACACAGAUGUCCACAUGCACACACACAUAUGCCCACAUGCACACAGGCACACACACCCACUUGCACAUACAUAUCCACAUGCACACGUGGCCACUGCCAUAUGCACAGACAUGUGCACACGCAUACAUGUACAUGUGCACGCAUGGCUGGUUAAUUCUUG
rnacentral:lncRNA from 1 species